UGGCGCAUGCUCCUUUGCGCCACUAGCGGCCGCGCGCCGCGCUUCGGGGUUGCGCACGUCAGUCUCUGUCGUUGCUUGACUUCCGCUGUUACGGCAACCGAGUUUCCGCGGGAUCAGACCGGUUUGAUGAAACAAAAGUGGAACUUUAAACAUGUUGCCUUGUAAGAAGAGAAGAACUACAGUGACAGAGAACUCACAGGAUAAGAGCAGCCAGGAGGAAGACAACUUAGACCAAGAGUCAGCUGUUAAACAAGAAUCUGACCAGGUUACUGACUUUGGGUCAGUGCCCCUGUCUUGGGGUCCAAGUCAUGGUAGAGCAGUUGGAGUUGAAGUUCAUUCUGUGCAGAAUGCAGGAAAUCAGCCUGGUGUGGAGGUUCCAUCAUUGAGCUCUAGGAUUCUCACCCAGGAUGCGAAUUUACCAAGUUUAGAAGCUGCUGAUGAGGCCAUUUCUCAGGGAAUCACCCUGACUUCCUUGGAGUCUUCCCACUCUCCUAAUGUACACAUUGGUAAAGGAAAACUCCAGGCCACUGCUUCAAAGAGAGGGAAGAAAGUUGUUCUCAGGCCUGGACUGGUAACCCAAGAAGACAGAGGUGAUCUUCCUGUCAUGAAGAAGCUUUUUUCAGGAGACCCUAGUGAAGAAGUCAAGGAGGGAGGAGAAGAGCAAAACAAUGAAGAAAACGAAAAAAGGAGAAAAAAGAAAAAGGGUACCAAGAGGAAACGAGAUGGAAGGGGUCAAGAGCAAGGGACCUUGAUGGGUGACCUGAAACUGGAUGACAUGCUUGAUCGUACCUUAGAGGAUGGUGCCAAGCAGCACAAUCUAACAGCUGUCAAUGUGCGAAACAUCCUUCAUGAAGUAAUCACAAAUGAACAUGUUGUAGCUAUGAUGAAAGCAGCCAUCAGUGAGACAGAAGACAUGCCAAUGUUUGAGCCUAAAAUGACACGCUCUAAACUGAAGGAAGUGGUAGAGAAGGGAGUGGUGAUUCCAACAUGGAAUAUUUCUCCAAUUAAGAAGGCCAAUGAAAUUAAGCCUCCCCAGUUUGUGGAUAUCCACCUUGAAGAAGAUGACUCCUCAGAUGAGGAGUACCAGCCAGAUGAAGAAGAGGAAGAUGAGACUGCUGAAGAGAGCUUAUUGGAAAGUGAUGUUGAAAGCACAGCAUCAUCUCCACGUGGGGCAAAGAAAUCCAGAUUGAGACAGUCUUCCGAGAUGACAGAAACAGAUGAAGAGAGUGGUGUAUUAUUAGAGGCUGAGAAAGUUACCACACCUGCCAUCAGACACAUCAGUGCUGAGGUAGUGCCCAUGGGGCCUCCACCCCCUCCAAAGCCAAAGCAGACCAGAGAUAGCACUUUCAUGGAGAAGUUGCAUGCAGUAGAUGAGGAACUGGCUUCUAGUCCUGUCUGCAUGGAUUCUUUCCAGCCUAUGGAUGAUAGUCUCAUUGCCUUCAGAACCCGUUCUAAGAUGCCCCUGAAGGAUGUUCCUCUGGGCCAACUAGAGGCAGAGCUUCAAGCUCCAGACAUCACCCCUGAUAUGUAUGACCCCAAUACAGCUGACGAUGAAGACUGGAAGAUGUGGCUAGGGGGACUCAUGAAUGAUGAUGUGGGGAAUGAAGAUGAAGCAGAUGAUGAUGAUGAUCCAGAAUAUAAUUUCCUAGAAGAUCUUGAUGAACCUGACACAGAAGAUUUUCGUACUGACCGGGCAGUGAGGAUCACCAAAAAGGAAGUAAAUGAACUGAUGGAAGAACUGUUUGAAACUUUCCAAGAUGAGAUGGGGUUCUCAAACAUGGAAGAUGAUGGCCCAGAGGAGGAGGAGCGUGUGGCUGAGUCUCGGCCUAAUUUUAACACACCUCAAGCCUUACGGUUUGAGGAACCAUUGGCUAACUUGCUAAAUGAACAACAUCGGGCAGUAAAGGAACUACUUGAACAGCUGAAGAUGAAGAAAUCUUCAGCCAAACAGCAACAAGAAAUGGAGAAGCUUAAGCCUCAGGCUGAGAAAGUUCAUCAGACUCUGAUUCUAGAUGUUGCGCAGAGGAAGAGACUGCAGCAGCAGAUGCAGCAGCAUGUUCAACUCUUGACGCAAAUCCAUCUUCUCGCCUCCUCCAACCCCAACCUCAGUUCAGAGGCCAGUACCACCAAGAUAUUUCUUAAAGAGCUGGGGACCUUUGCUCAGAGCUCCACUGCCCUUCACCACCAGUCCAACCCCAUGUUUCAGACAUUGUUUCAACCCUGUAACUUGAUGGGAGCCAUGCAGCUGAUCGAGGACUUCAGCACACAUGUCAGUGUUGACUGGAGCCCCCCAAAACCUGUGCGCAAGAAUGUUUAUGAAUUCUCUUGUUUACCAAAGCAAGUGGCUUGGAUCCUAGCCACAAGUAAAGUGUUCAUGUAUCCAGAGCUACUUCCAGUGUGUUCCCUGAAGGCUAAGAAUCCUCAGGAUAAGCUCAUCUUCACCAAGGCUGAAGACAAUUUGCUAGCUUUAGGACUGAAGCAUUUUGAAGGUACCGAGCUUCCUAAGCCUCUAAUCAGCAAGUACCUACUAACGUGCAAAACUGCCCAUCAGCUGACGGUUCGGAUCAAGAACCUCAACCAAAACAGAGCCCCUGACAACAUCAUCAAGUUUUAUAAGAAGACCAAACAGCUGCCAGUUCUGUUAAAGUGCUGUGAAGAGGUCCAGCCCCAUCAGUGGAAGCCUCCUAUCGAGAGGGAAGAGCAUCGGCUCCCUUUCUGGUUAAAGGCCAGUCUGCCAUCCAUCCAGGACGAGCUGCGGCACAUAGCUGAUGGUGCCAGGGAGGUGGGAAAUGAGACUGUGACCACCGAGAUCAGUACAGACCAAGGCCUAGAAAAAGCCAGAUCAGAACUGGGGAGUGAGACUCGGUAUCCAUUGCUGUUGCCCAAAGGGGUGGUGCUGAAGUUGAAGCCUGUUGCUAACCGUUUUCCCAGGAAGACUUGGAGACAGAAGCGGUCAUCAGUUCCUCCUAACAAAAUGGUGGUCCGGAUUCCACAGUUGAUUCAGCCUGCUACUGUCUUGCAAACUGUUCCUGGAGUCCCUCCAUUGGGGGUCAGUGGUGAAGAUAGCUUUGAGUCACCGGCACCACUGUCUGCUGUGCCCCCUGAGGUCAGGACCAGCUUCCCUCUGUCUGAGUCCCAGACUAUCCUCUCCUCUGCCCCUGUGCCCAAGGUAAUGCUGCCCUCACUUGGCCCUUCUAGGUUUCGAAAGCCAUGUGUGAGGCGGAAACCCUCAAGAAAAAAGGGAGCCAAGACCUUUCCUUGUCCCAAACCUGCCCCCCUAAUCCACUCUGCACCUGUUAUCUUCACUGUUCCGGCCACCACUGUGAAGGUUGUGAGCCUGGGCAGUGGUUGUAACGUGAUCCAACCCGUCAAUGCAGCAGUGGCCCCGAGCCCUCAGACCAUUCCCAUCACCACCCUCCUGGUUAACCCCACUUCCUUUUCCUGUCCACUGAGCCAGCCCCUUGUGGCCUCCUCCAUCCCACCCUUAAUUGUUUCUAGUAAUGCUGUGAAUCUCUCUGUGUCUUCUACUCCUGAAGAUAAGGCUCAAGUGAAUGUGGACAUUGGUUGUCCUUUGGCUGAAGGAAAAAAUGCCUUUCAAAGCUUAGAACCCAAAUUAGAACCUCAGGAAAUAACUCCUCUCUGUGUUCCUGUCUUUCCCAAAGAGGAACACAGCCCCAGGUCUCUGGCAGCCAGUAGAGAAAACCAGGUAGGAUUGUCAGAAAACAGUGGUUGUGGUCGGAUGAUUGUGGAAACAGAGGAGGGGAGACAAGGUCUGGAGCCACUGCCUCAAGGUUUCCAGGGAUUUCUGAAGUCUUCCUCUGGGGAUUUAAAGGAAGUUGUCAAGAUGGAACCUGAAGACCCUGGGGAGGUGAUCUCCAGUGGGUCACCUGAGCAGCACAUUUGUGAUGAAAUAAAAAAGGAAUGGUUUGUAGAACGGGACACUGGCUCCCCACGAGAGGAGUUGAGCAGUGCUAGAGCGUUAAAAAAGCAAUCAAUCCUGCAGAAGGAGGAGAGGAGUCAGCCAACUCACACCUCUGCAGCUUCUCAAGAGUCUCCUGCUGAGGGAAAUGCAGUUGGGGAUGUGAGCAAAGACUCCCCAAGGAAUGCUCUGUCUUCUGUUGAGCCUGAGAUGGUCCUAAGCAGUCCCCUGGGGAAGGCUGAAGAGGCAUCUAGUGUUGAUGGUCAAUCAGUGGGGACCCCAGCAGGGCCAGAUGUUGGAGGAGAGAAGGAUGGACCUGAGGAAGAGGAAGAAGAGGACUUUGAUGACCUCACCCAGGAUGAAGAAGAUGAGAUGUCAUCAGCAUCUGAGGAAUCUGUGCUUUCUGUACCUGAGCUUCAGGAAACAAUGGAGAAACUGACUUGGCUGGCAUCUGAAAGGCGCAUGAGUCAGGAGGGUGAAUCUGAGGAAGAGAAUUCCCAGGAGGAGAAUUCUGAGCCAGAAGAAGAAGAGGAAGAAGAAGCAGAAGGAGUGGAAAGCCUGCAGAAAGAGGAUGAGAUGACUGAUGACCCAGUUGCAGACACUGCUGAGAAGCUCGCUUCCCCCUUGGUGUCCCCCAAGGCUGCUCCUGAAGUAGAGUCAUGCCGAAUCUCACCAGGAGAGAGCAUCAAAGCUACUGGAAAGAGUCGGAACAACCACCGAGCUCGCAGCAAGCGUGGAAGUCGGGCUCGGGCUAGCAAGGACACCUCCAAGCUGCUGUUGCUGUAUGACGAGGACAUUCUCGAGCGGGAUCCACUCAGGGAGCAGAAGGACUUGGCCUUUGCCCAAGCUUAUCUGACCAGGGUACGAGAAGCCCUACAGCACAUCCCUGGGAAGUAUGAAGACUUCCUUCAGGUCCUCUAUGAAUUUGAGUCCAGUUCUCAGAGGCAAACAGCUGUGGAUCUCUAUAAAAGCCUGCAGAUUCUGCUCCAAGACUGGCCUCAGUUGUUAAAGGACUUUGCUGCUUUCCUCUUACCUGAGCAAGCUCUGGCCUGUGGAUUAUUUGAGGAGCAGCAGGCUUUUGAGAAGAGUCGCAAGUUCCUUCGGCAGCUUGAGAUUUGCUUUGCAGAAAACCCCUCACACCACCAGAAGAUUAUCAAAGUCCUCCAGGGUUGUGCAGACUGCAUUCCUCACGAGAUCACAGAGCUCAAGACACAGAUGUGGCAGCUCCUCAAGGGCCACGAUCACCUACAGGAUGAAUUCUCCAUCUUCUUUGACCAUCUGCGUCCAGCAGCAAGCCGUAUGGGUGACUUUGAAGAGAUAAAUUGGACUGAAGAGAAAGAGUACGAGUUUGAUGGCUUCGAAGAAGUGGCACUGCCUGAUGUGGAAGAGGAAGAAGAACCACCCAAGAUACCCACAGCCUCAAAGAACAAGAGAAGAAAAGAGGUUGGGGUUCAAAAUCAUGAUAAGGACACUGAGUGGCCAGAUGGGGCCAAGGAUUGUGCCUGUUCCUGCCAUGAAGGGGGUCCUGAUUCCAAGCUGAAGAAGAGCAAACGGAGAAAUUGUAGCCACUGUAGUGGCAGCAAGGUCUGUGACAGCAAACCCUACAAGCACAAGGAGCCCCAGGAAUCUGUGAGCAGCAGCCCCCAUGGAGAGGCCAGUCCUGUGCUCGGCACAAAGGAAGCAGGGCAGGGAAAGGAGCUGGUGGAGGAGGAAGCCCUGGAAGAACGAGAGAGCACUGAGGCUCUGCAGAAGACCAGCAGGACCACCCAGAAGGAGGAGAUGCCUGUUCCCGGAACAACAGUGCAGAGCAUGUUGCCGUCCCCUCAAGAAGUACCUCUUACAGAACGGCUCCUGGAGGGUGCACCGUCUCCCACACCAGAGACUCCUCAGCACCCUGCCCCAACUGCAGCUGUACCACACACUGUUCAGAGAAGCCAGGCUGGGCCUGAGGUUCUCUCCACCAGUGCAUCCCUUGGACACGAAAAAGAAAGGAACGGAUACAAGGCAGUGGGUGACUCAGAGGCCUCUUUGCUGGUCUGGGAUGUCUCACAGCCUGAGACAUCACAUGGUACUGUGGAGCCCUCUGCUCCUUUCCUGAGUCCUGCUUCCUCAAGGACCAAAGGUGUUGGGAGGAGACAUGUGUCUAGGAAUCCAGACACUCAAGACACCUGGCUCUCCUCGAGCAGAGCCGGGACAAGGAGAGCAAAUAGGCUGUCCCCUGGCUAUGAACCAUCUGUGGGAAUUAACACCUCCGAGACAUCUCCUCAAGUUCCCAAAGGGAGUCUAACUAAAGACAGUGGAGUGCAGGUCAGGGGUCCAGAUGGGGAACAGCAGCCAAAAGCCACGGAAGCUACAGUGUGUGCAAAUAAUAGCAAGGUCAGCUCCACCGGGGAGAAGGUCGUCCUGUGGACCAGGGAAGCCGACCGUGUGAUUCUUACGAUGUGUCAGGAACAAGGAGCACAGCCGCAGACUUUCAGCAGCAUCUCUCAGCAGCUGGGAAACAAGACCCCAGCCGAGGAAGUCUGACUUUGGGAAAAAUACUUGGCUUUGGGUGCCUCACCUAUAAACAGGACACAGCUCUCUCAGCAUUACUGUGUGGAAUAAGUCUCUCACCGCUUUGGAGAACUCAUGCAGCUCUUCCACACGUCCUGUGAGGCAAGCUCUGAGGAUGAGGAUGAUGCCACCAGUACCAGCAACACAGACCAGCUGUCAGACCACGGGGACCUGCUUUCUGAGGAAGAGCUGGAUGAGUGAGACUGGGAUGUGCGUGUCACCUGCUCAAGACUGCUCUGUAGGCAGCCUGCACUAGAGUCACAGUGGCUGUCCUUCCCUGUCCAGUCCUUGAGCUCUGCAUGAAGAACUAGAGUGGAGCCGAGGACAAGGACAAGGUGAUUGUGGAGGUGGUUGAGGGCUCUGCGUCCUGUGCCUCUCAGGGUAGACCUUACGAAGACCUUCCAGUUCCUCUGUGUAAAUAGUCAUUGAGGGAGUGGGGCUCUACUCCCUCUCCCUCCUUUGUGUCAGAUGGUACAUAUUUAUUAUUCUGUGGUCCAUACAGUGUCUCUAGCUGUAAUAAACAUCUGUGUCAUGUA